AAGGAAGUGGUACAGGGGCAGCACGCCUGCUUUGGGAGCAGGAGGCCGGGGGUUCGAAUCCCUCCUUCCUUA
rnacentral:tRNA from 1 species